CAUCAUUGAUAUAUAAACUAUCAGACUGCGUGGUCGGUAGUAGUGGGUUUCAGUAGGCCUUUAAACCAUCAUAGAAGCAUGUUUUUUUUAACAUACAAUAUUAGUAUAAUGUGUAUUUUAGCUUUCAAAAUACUUAUUUCACAGUCACAAAAUUGAUGAGAAUAGGGACGGAAAAGGGCUUCAUGUUACCUCACCCUUACCUUUGGAAUGUUCCUGUAAUGAACCAACAUGUGUCUGUGUACACGUAGACUAUUGUUAUGUUACAUCAAAUGUACUCUUUUAUGUACAUACUAUUUCACAUUUUCAUGGUUUGACAAAGUCAGUUUGAUGUUCGCCCUGUGGUGUAAAAAGUAACCGGUACUGGAUGUUUAUUUUCUCAAAUGACAGAAUAUUCAUUACACAGCAAGAAAUAAUAUGCAUGAUAUUCAUACACAAUGCUACCUUUUUAGGGGGUGGUUGGUUGUCUUUUUUUACAACAUUUAAAUCUCUGUUACAUGAUAAAGCUACUACAGUAUAAUGAGUAUUUAAUUGUAUUACUCUUCAAAUAACAACAGGGCUGCAGGGUGAGAUGAAACUGACGAUUUAGAGUUUAUCACUUGUUUUUGGCCUUUUAAUGUGCAUUAUUUUUUAUAUACAAAAUGUACUGUUACUGCCAUAAUAAAUAUGUUUUGUACAUCAUUA